GCAGUGGUGGCUCAAUGGUUAAUGCUCUGGGUUACUGACCAGAAGAUUGGGGUUCAUGCCCUGUCACUGCU